rnacentral:rRNA from 1 species
GACGAACGCUGGCGGCGUGCUUAACACAUGCAAGUCGAACGAUGAACCCGGAGCUUGCUCCGGCGGAUUAGUGGCGAACGGGUGAGUAACACGUGAGUAACCUGCCCUUGACUCUGGGAUAACUGCUAGAAAUGGUAGCUAAUACCGGAUACGACCCUCGGUGGCAUCACCAGGGGGUGGAAAGAAUUUCGGUCAAGGAUGGACUCGCGGCCUAUCAGCUAGUUGGUGAGGUAACGGCUCACCAAGGGGACGACGGGUAGCCGGCCUGAGAGGGUGGCCGGCCACACUGGGACUGAGACACGGCCCAGACUCCUACGGGAGGCAGCAGUGGGGAAUAUUGCACAAUGGGCGCAAGCCUGAUGCAGCAACGCCGCGUGAGGGAUGACGGCCUUCGGGUUGUAAACCUCUUUUAGUAGGGAAGAAGCGAAAGUGACGGUACCUGCAGAAAAAGCACCGGCUAACUACGUGCCAGCAGCCGCGGUAA